GACGGAGGAUGCAAGUGUUAUCCGGAAUCACUGGGCGUAAAGCGUCUGUCGGUGGCUUAAUAAGUCAACUGUUAAAUCUUGAAGCUCAACUUCAAAAUCGCAGUCGAAACUAUUAGACUAGAGUAUAGUAGAGGUAAAGGGAAUUUCCAGUGGAGCGGUGAAAUGCGUAGAGAUUGGAAAGAACACCGAUGGCGAAGGCACUUUACUGGGCUAUUACUGACACUCAGAGACGAAAGCUAGGGUAGCAAAUGGG
rnacentral:rRNA from 1 species